CAGCAGACACAUUCCAGCCAAUCAGCAGCUGACCCUCCCUCCCAGAUCCUCCCACCUCCUGGACAGCAUCCAUUUUACAUUCAUUGUGAAGCUGCAUUUUUAGUGAGCUGUCCAGGAGGUGGGAGGGUCUGGGAGGGAGGGUCUGCUGCUGAUUGGCUGGAAUGUGUCUGCUG